CACGUAGGGGGGCGAGCGUUGUCCGGAUUUAUUGGGCGUAAAGAGCUCGUAGGCGGUUUCGUAAGUCGGAUGUGAAAACUCCAGGCUCAACUUGGAGACGCCAUUCGAUACUGCCGUGCUUGAGGACUGGAGAGGAGACUGGAAUUUACGGUGUAGCGGUGAAAUGCGUAGAUAUCGUAAGGAAGACCAGUGGCGAAGGCGGGUCUCUGGACAGUUCCUGACGCUGAGGCGCGAAGGCCAGGGGAGCAAACGGG
rnacentral:rRNA from 1 species